rnacentral:rRNA from 1 species
GUCUUUUUGUUAUAUUUUUAAAGUCUAGCCUGCCCCCUGAUUAUUUAAAUGGCCGCGGUAUUUUGACUGUGCUAAGGUAGCAUAAUCAUUAGUUUUUUAAUUGAAAGCUGGAAUGAAGGGUUUCAUGAAAGAAUAACUGUCUCUAUUUAAUUGUUUUUGAAAUUUAUUUUUAAGUUAAAAAGCUUAGAUAUAUUUAAAAGACGAGAAGACCCUAUAGAGUUUUAUUUUUAAUAUCAUUAUAAAUUUAUGGAAUUUAUAGUUUUAUUUUUUAUUAAAAAUUUAAUUGGGGUGAUUGAAAAAUUUAAGUAACUUUUUUUAUACUUGUAUAUUUAUUAGUAAUUUUAUGAUCCAAAAGUUUUGAUUAAAAGAUAAAUUACCUUAGGGAUAACAGCGUAAUUUUAUUUUAAAGUUCUAAUUGAAAAUAAAGAUUGCGACCUCGAUGUUGGAUUAAAAUUAAUGUUUGGUGUAGAAGCUAGGCUAUUAAGUCUGUUCGACUUUUAAAAUUUUACA